rnacentral:lncRNA from 1 species
AUUUUGCAUGUUCCAGUAACCUCAGCAAUCAAAAAAUGAACCACACACCUCUGCUCUUCUUUGCUUGCCUUCAUUUCUAAUGCUGGAUGAACACAGUUUUCACUACUCUCACCUACAGAGAAGUAAACAAACAACUGUGUGUACCUGUGAGUUGUCACUAUGCAUUUCUCCUACUCUACAGAUGGCAGUAUCUAUAAUUAACAACAGUGUUGCCAACUUUUGUGUGGAAUGUGUUUUAUGGAGGGUGUUCGGUUUUCAUUUGACUGCCCCUUAUAACUUAAACUUGGAAGAUAAAUUAACUUUAGCUG